GACGAACGCUGGCGGCGCGCUUAACACAUGCAAGUCGAACGGAAAGGCCUGGUUUCCCUUGUGGAUUGCGGGUACUCGAGUGGCGAACGGGUGAGUAACACGUGAGUGAUCUGCCCCCAACUUGGGUAUAAGCCUGGGAAACUGGGUCUAAUUCCCGAUAGGACUGCAGGGUGGUGCCUGUGGUGGAAAACGAUUUUCUAGUGGUUGGGGAUGAGCUCGCGGCCUAUCAGCUUGUUGGUGGGGUAAUGGCCUACCAAGGCGGCGACGGGUAGCCGGCCUGAGAGGGUGGACGGCCACAUUGGGACUGAGAUACGGCCCAGACUCCUACGGGAGGCAGCAGUGGGGAAUAUUGCACAAUGGGCGGAAGCCUGAUGCAGCGACGCCGCGUGGGGGAUGACGGCCUUCGGGUUGUAAACUCCUUUCGACCGCGAGGAAGCCACCUGGUUGGAAGGGUGGUGACGGUAGUGGUAGAAGAAGCACCGGCUAACUACGUG
rnacentral:rRNA from 1 species